rnacentral:rRNA from 1 species
AGAGUUUGAUCAUGGCUCAGGAUGAACGCUGGCGGCGUGCCUAACACAUGCAAGUCGAACGGUCCGCAAGGACAGUGGCGCACGGGUGAGGAACACGUAGCUAACCUGCCUCUCGGUAUGGGAUAACGUCCCGAAAGGGACGCUAAUACCGUAUAACCUCGGUGGAUGCAAAGGUCACCGAGCAAAGAUUGAUCGCCGGGAGAGGGGGCUGCGGCCCAUCAGGUAGUUGGUAAGGUAACGGCUUACCAAGCCGACGACGGGUAGGGGGUCUGAGAGGAUGAUCCCCCACACUGGGACUGAGACACGGCCAGACUCCUACGGGAGGCAGCAGUGAGGGAUAUUGCACAAUGGGGGAAACCCUGAUGCAGCGACGCCGCGUGGGUGAUGAAGGUCUUCGGAUCGUAAAACCCUUUUCUAGGUGACGAGCAAGGACGGUAGCCUAGGAAUAAGUCUCGGCUAACUACGUGCCAGCAGCCGCGGUAAAACGUAGGAGGCGAGCGUUAUCCGGAGUUACUGGGCGUAAAGCGUAUGUAGGCGGUUGGGCAAGUGGCGUGUGAAAGCUCCCGGCUAAACUGGGAGAGGACAGGUCAGACUGCUCGGCUAGAGGGUGGUAGAGGAGCGUGGAAUUCGGGGUGUAGCGGUGAAAUGUGUAGAGAUCCCGAGGAACACCAGUGGCGCAAGCGGCGCUCUGGGCCACUACUGACGCUGAGAUACGAAAGCGUGGGGAGCGAACGGGAUUAGAGACCCCGGUAGUCCACGCCGUAAAC